AAGAAAUCAACCUACUGGGUAUUGCUCUUGUCUGAUUACUCUUCCAUGAUUUUAUGAUCUAACAGAGUGUGGAACCUGUUUGUCAAGGAUUUGUUUGUUGCUCUGAUAUUCUCGUUCUUUCUGAAAAGAUACGUUGUUUUGGAGGUCAAGGAAAUGGAUACUAGUGUCGCACACAACAGUUGGAGCUGACUUUGAUGACAACAAAAUUAGAUUUUUCUAUCCCAAGUCAAAGACAAGGAUAGACAAGGAUACCACGCAGCUAAUUGCAAGUGGAAUGGAGAAGAUGGCUUUCAUUAAUUUUAAUGGAGGUGCACUAAUGGUUGUUACUACAAGUCUACAACCAGUAUUGUAGCUCGUACUGCGUCUGAGACUAAGGAAAGAAAAUAGAAGAGAAAGAAAAAAAAUCC